AGAGACUCGGUGAAAUCAUAGUACCUGUGAAGAUGCAGGUUACCCGCGACAGGACGGAAAGACCCCGUGGAGCUUUACUGUAGCCUGAUAUUGAAAUUCGGCACAGCUUGUACAGGAUAGGUAGGAGCCUUUGAAACGUGAGCGCUAGCUUACGUGGAGGCGUUGGUGGGAUACUACCCUAGCUGUGUUGGCUUUCUAACCCGCACCACUUAUCGUGGUGGGAGACAGUGUCAGGCGGGCAGUUUGACUGGGGCGGUCGCCUCCUAAAAGGUAACGGAGGCGCUCAAAGGUUCCCUCAGAAUGGUUGGAAAUCAUUCAUAGAGUGUAAAGGCAUAAGGGAGCUUGACUGCGAGACCUACAAGUCGAGCAGGGUCGAAAGACGGACUUAGUGAUCCGGUGGUUCCGCAUGGAAG
rnacentral:rRNA from 1 species